ACAUUUUAAUAGAGUUAUUGUUUACUAAAAAUUUGUUACAUAACUAGAUGUUUUAUGACGGGGAACCGUUGGCUGGACGGGGCCACGGCGCAAUACGUGGUAUCGACUUCAUUUCGCCUGAAAUGCGUUGCCAUCUAUCGGGACCAGGUGAAAUUUUAUUAGCAUACAGUAAAGAUCACGUUAUUCAGUCAGCGCCAUUUUACGGUUACAGUUUUUGUUUUAAUAGCCCGUGGUUUAUUUUUCUCCUACAUUUUAGAAACUUUUCUCAACUUCCAGUGAAGGAAACUUGACAAACUCUUCAAGAAGAAGAAGAAGAAGAGGAGCAAAUCAAAGAACAGGAAAAUGAAGAAUGGUGAGAGUGGUGACACUAGUUCAUGUAGUGAAAUAUUUAAAGGAAGAAAUGAAAUCACAUAAGGAGAAAAGAAGAGUGAAAGAAGACAAAAAUAAACAAAGUGAAAUUGAUUACAAAAACGUGGUAAUCAAGAAGGAGUAAUCAACACUGAGCAGUGCAUCCGAGUCACAUAAUAAGACUCCGGAAAAUGUUUAUGGCAGAAGCAUUGAUUUUGCUGGUCACCGCAGUAUGCACCAAUGGCAUCAAGCAACUUGCGAGAGAACACCUAACAAGGAUUAUAGAGAGGCUACCAGACUGAAAGUAAGACAGGAUGGAUUCAUGAGUGGAAGUAUCUGAUUGGUGGAGCCGUGCGGUUUUGACGCAUGAGAUACUGUCAUGAGCUAUGCCUUUUGAAGCAGAGAAAUCAACCACCAGAUGAUAUUUGAGUGAGUCUCAGCAUUUGGAAGCAGAUUGGAUAUCCAUGUUCCCUGUGAACAGCAAGUUUUUUUAACAAUUUGUAACUUUCUGUGGUUUGACGUAGAUGUACGUCUGGCAUUUAACUUCCCAUCUGCGGUUUGACGUACACACUACGUCCGGCUGUAAGCCUAAUUU